rnacentral:rRNA from 1 species
GACGAACGCUGGCGUCGUGCCUAAUACCUGCAAGUAGGACGCAGUUGCGAACGGGUGGGUAACGCGUCGGUACCUGCCUUUUCGAGGGGGAUAACUAUUGGAAACGAUAGCUAAUACAGCAUACUAGUAGAUUGACCUGCGUUGUAUUAGCUUGUAGGGAGGGUAAUGGCCUACCUAGGCGACGAUACAUAGCCGACUGGAGAGGGUGUUCGGCAACCAGGGGACGUAGACGAGGCCCAGACGCCUACGGUAGGCAGCAGUAGGGAAUCUUCGGAAAUGGGGGGAACCAUGAACGAGCAACGCGGCGGGAGUGAAGAAGGUUUUAGGAUCGGAAAGCUCUGUUGGUAAGGAAGCGGUACUUAACCAGAAAGGGACGGCUAACUACGUGCCAGCAGCCGCGGUAAUAC